rnacentral:rRNA from 1 species
AUUGAACGCUGGCGGCAGGCUUAACACAUGCAAGUCGAGCGGAGCGGCGGACGGGGAGGGAAUGCUUAGGCAUCUGCCUAUUGGUGGGGGACAACACCACGAAAGGGAAGCUAAUACCGCAUACGAAUAGCUGAGCCUCAGUCGGAUUAGCUAGUUGGUGGGGUAAAGGGCUAACAAGGCGACGAUCUGUAGCGGGGCUGGGAGGAUGAUCCGCCCAACUGGGAAUGGGACACGGGCCAGACGUCUACGGGGGGGAGCAAGUGGGGAUUUUUGAGAAUGGGGGGAAACCUUGUCCAGCCAUUCCGGGGGUGUGAAGAAAGCCUUUUGGUUGUAAAGCAUGUGAAGCUAGGAAGCGUUACUCGCAGAAUAAGCACCGGCUAACUCCGUGCCAGCCGCCGCGGUAAUAC